rnacentral:rRNA from 1 species
AACGAACGCUGGCGGCAUGCCUAACACAUGCAAGUCGAACGAAACCUUCGGGUCUAGUGGCGCCCGGGUUCGUAACGCGUGGGAACCUGCACUUAGGUUCGGAAUAACUCUCCGAAAGGGGUACUAAUGGCGGACAAUGUCUACUGACCAAAGAUUUAUCGCCUUUGGAUGGGCCCGCGUUGGAUUCGCUGGUUGGGAGGGGAAAAGCCGCCCAAGGCGACAAUCCAUAGCUGGUCUGUGAGGAUGGUCAGCCACACUGGGACUGGGACACGGCCCAGACUCCUCCGGGAGGCAGCAGUGGGGAAUGUUGGACAGUGGGCGGAAUGCUGAUCCAGCUCUGCCGCGUGAGUGAUGAAGGCCUUAGAGUUGUAAAGCUCUUGUACCCGGGAUGAUAAUGACGGUACCGGGAGAAUAAGCUCCGGCUAACUCCGUG